CUCUGCAAAAGCAGCCUUUGCCGUAGAGUCAUGAACUAGGUCAAGACACUGGUCAUCCAUGUAUUUUGCCUCCUUCGGGAAGUUGUCCUCUCGAAAACUAAAGAGCUCCCUUGUGAACUCUAUCAUUAGGUUUGCACUUUUGAAUUCAAGAAAAUAGUACUAAAACUCAUCCAGCAGCCUAUUGAGGUAGAUGAUGGUUUCGUUCUUGAGAACGUCGCUGACACCAUCAGCAGUCUCGCUGAUUCGCACCAACGUUGAAAAUGCCGUUCAACUGCAGGCGAACUUACCUCGCUACAUCUCAAGUUUUGAAGCGAAGGCGUUUACUUUGUUUCAAUGCCUGAUGAUAUCGGAGUCCACGCCCAGUAGCUUUUGGUUAAGCUCACUCAGGUGACUGAACAUCCCCCCGAGAAAUGCCAUCCUACACUGUAAUGCCACAGCGGAAACAAAAGAUUUCCGUUCUCCUUUGUUCGUUUCUUCCAAAAACUGUGUAACUUCGGGAAGCAAAUGCGCGAGUGGAUUUAAUAUGUACUUCGACAUCCAAGGAACUGCAGUGUGGAGCAGCCGUCCUUCCUAGUCAGAUUCAAUAUCCUGGCACAAUCGUCGAAAUAUACAAGUAUUGAGGUUGCUCACUUUUACAAAAUUUACAAGCCUGGUUGCAGUCUCAAGCGCUUCUUUGAGCAGUUGUGUCAUUGUUCUUGAUGCGAGCACUUCUCCAUGUACGAUGCAGUGCAUGGACAUCCUUUUAAAAUUCUCCUGCAUUAGUAGUUUUGCAAAUCUAUACCUUGCAACGAACAUAUCAGAAUCCCCAUCUGUACAGACAUGGACGAGCUUGCCCCAAUCCAAUCCUUCUUACUCAAAAAAGGCGUCGACAAACUUCAUUACAUUGACGACAUGGGUUGUUGUUUCGAUGGCGGCAAAACAGCAAGCCUUAAUACUACUUGAUAAUGGGAGCUCUGUUAACCCAACCAGGGAUGCUGCAGGAGUGAGUUUGCAGACCCUCCGUUGACAUUUCUAACACAACGUCUAUAAAUGGUUGUGAUUUGAAAUUUGGUUGAAAUUUAAAUUGGCAAAAUUUUGGAGUAGUGGUUCUUCUGUUCGACCAAGUAUUCCCCACUUAGCAACUCUGCUAUUCUUCAACAGUGGGGAACUCCUCUCAGGUUAAGAACCACUGUUUUUUAGAAGAGUUAUUAAUCAUUAUAUACAUUAAUCGAUAUUCUUAUAUGAAUAUACUGGGUAUGAAAUGACACGAAUUCUAAACAAAGGCAAAUGUAAUAUCUUUUUGAGUUCUAAUAAAAUUUAUCAGUCUUAGGACUGCUGUUUAUUCAUUA
rnacentral:lncRNA from 1 species